UUCUCUCGGCGCGGAGGCUUGCCAAACACUCAUAGCCGCCACUGGUCGUGCGUUCUCUGCCGUCGCACCACGAGCCGCUAAACCUAGACUCACUUCGGUAGCCAACCGACCGACGGCCCCGCCGCGCGAUGAGCCGCCGCACCAGAGCUACAACACCACCAGCGACCCGUCAACCGCGCCGCACCACACGCCGCAGACGGAUCCAGAACCCGCCGCAGUACGCACCAGCAGCGCCGCCUCGAUACCGCUCACUAACAUCGCCGCGAGUUCACGCACGGGCACGAACACGACGAUGCACUUCCGCAACGAACGGUAAACCUAACUUAAAACCAACCCACACUCACGUGCCCAACUCCUUGUGUUACAGCCACGCUACGAAGGUUUACGUGGUCGUUUUCUCUUCCUUCUUGCAGCUGGCGCCCACUCGCUGUAGAGCGUCUAAGACCUGUCUCCGAUGACAUCCACCGACCUUGGUGUAGCACCGGGGCUUUAGUUGGUUAUUGCCCGUCUGUUUCUUCUCCACUGAGCGGUUAUUGUCACACCGCCUGACCCGUCCGUUGAUCUCCAAAUCUCGUUACUUUUUCCACUAAAACAAGAACUUAGCACGAAUUGUAAAUAAAUCGUUAGUUCGUGAACGUCGGGCCAAACUCUACACGAAGAACAACCAAGUACAUCUGUACGGUUGUUUCCGGAGUAUUUCUUUUUAUCUUUUUUUAUGUCAUCUAACCAAAACUAACAAGAGAACACAUCUGGUUUUAAUCGCUCGUUUUCUUUAACCUAAAACCAAGGUUUAAGAAAGGCACUCAAAUAGGGUCCUUAUUACAUAACAAGGAUAAACUAAACGAUGUACAUUGAAGGCAUCCGUUUAGAAGGUGGGCUACAAAGACAAGUUGUCGAGAGUUUCCGUAUCUCAGUUGGUCAGUCUGAAACUGGUCUACAGCUUGUAGAAGUCUUGGAACUAACGACUAGGAUCUAUGGAUUUGAGAUAAGACCGUUCAACAUGUACAUUAUUAAUCAAGAUCCUCCCAUACGUCUAACUUAAACGAUAUAACGUCAGACCUGAUGUUCGACGUUACAAAACUAUUGGUACCAGACCUACAUCUAUUAAAACUCUUUCGUAUGAAGAAAGGUACACGUAAAUCCGGAAUACCCUAAUUAGAGAGAUAGUAGUCAAGAAGAUCAUAAACUAACUUGGGAGAUUCUAUUAAGGUCAAAGUCAUUAAAUAGUUUAGUUAGAGUACCCUCUUCUAAACAGGAACCAAGUCAGUUUAGAGAAUAUAAAAGAAAUUUAGAUGCACGGAACAUCAACAUUCAUGAGAUGAUAGAAAAGUCAUUGUAAGACUGGAUAUAUACUCUUAAUACAUCGUGGAAAUAAUGCUGUCAUUACUAAGUGAUUCGAAGAUAGAAUGGUGUACCAGGUUAAAUAAAGGUCAACAACGGUGGAAGGGACCUAUGUAGUGUGGGAUAUAUCACACGAGGAUCGUACGAAACACAAAAAUCUAGUUUUGACAAGCAGACGUUGUUUAACUUCACAACCAGACCUUUAUUUUAAUAAAUCUUUCUCCGCUUGAUAGAUGAGUAAAAGAUGGUAGAUUUGAUCAUAUCUAUCACCAUGUACGAUCGCUUGUUUAUCAAAUAUGGGAUAAAGUCACACCCCAUGAUAAGACGAUAAGACACCUUCGUGGACGAUAAUAAAAACAAGUUUCGUAAGUAUUAAACCCAAAGACGUUCCCGAGACUUUUCUUUGUAUAAAAACUAUUUACAACACGCUACGUAGCAAGACGUGUGGAUUAGCGGAUGAAUCUUUUUCUUUAUUUUCAUCGACGUAAGCACACAUGAAACCUCACACAUAUCUACCAUCUUAUUAACAUGGGAACGAAACAUGAUUAUCAAAAUAAAUGUGACAUCCAUCAAGUGAUAUAUUCAAAGGACUAUUGACAUCCGACUACAAUUAUAAAAAAACCUUUCUUACCUUAUAGUCCUAUAAACUGUAACGUCUUAAUACGACUGUGCCACAAACUCCCAUAGUAACUACUCAAAGUUAGAACCUCUCCACGUCCGACGAACAGAAGAAAGACUUAGUACAAGGAGGACAAAAGAGGGACAACCCUCACAUAUCUCAAGAGGGACCACCCGACACAUUAGUCGCCCAAUAGAAUCAGGUACAUAUCUAAGGUCAAGACAAAGGAACUCUCGACUGGGACAUUAAGAUCGAGAUAAAAGGAUCUCGACUAUGGAUCUCAAAAGGGACAAAUUUAUUUCAAGUAGGGGUCCGGGAAGUUCUAUUGUGAUGAGGGGUCUAAUUUUACACUA
rnacentral:rRNA from 1 species